rnacentral:rRNA from 1 species
CCUACGGGGGGCUGCAGUGAGGAAUAUUGGUCAAUGGACGAGAGUCUGAACCAGCCAAGUAGCGUGAAGGAUGACUGCCCUAUGGGUUGUAAACUUCUUUUAUAAAGGAAUAAAACGAGGCACGUGUGCCUUUUUGCAUGUACUUUAUGAAUAAGGAUCGGCUAACUCCGUGCCAGCAGCCGCGGUAAUACGGAGGAUCCGAGCGUUAUCCGGAUUUAUUGGGUUUAAAGGGAGCGUAGAUGGGUUGUUAAGUCAGUUGUGAAAUUUUGCGGCUCAACCGUAAAAUUGCAAUUGAUACUGGCAGUCUUGAGUACAGUUGAGGUAGGCGGAAUUCGUGGUGUAGCGGUGAAAUGCUUAGAUAUCACGAAGAACCCCGAUUGCGAAGGCAGCUUACUAAACUGUGACUGACAUUGAUGCUCGAAAGUGUGGGUAUCAAACAGGAUUAGAUACCCGGGUAGUC